rnacentral:rRNA from 1 species
UACGUAGGGAGCAAGCGUUGUCCGGAAUCAUUGGGCGUAAAGCGCGCGUAGGCGGCCCCGUAAGUCCGCUGUGAAAGUCAAAGGCUCAACCUUUGAAAGCCGGUGGAUACUGUGGGGCUAGAGUCCGGAAGAGGCGAGUGGAAUUCCUGGUGUAGCGGUGGGAAAUGCGCAGAUAUCAGGAGGAACACCAAUAGCGAAGGCAGCUCGCUGGGACGGUAACUGACGCUAAGGCGCGAAAGCGUGGGAGCGAACGAGGA